AGUGAACGCUGGCGGUAGGCCUAACACAUGCAAGUCGAACGGCAGCACAGUAAUAGCUUGCUCUUACGGGUGGCGAGUGGCGGACGGGUGAGGAAUACAUCGGAAUCUACUUUUUCGUGGGGGAUAACGUAGGGAAACUUACGCUAUUACCGCAUACGACCUACGGGUGAAAGCAGGGGAUCUCCGGACCUUGCGCGAUUGAAUGAGCCGAUGUCGGAUUAGCUAGUUGGCGGGGUAAAGGCCCACCAAGGCGACGAUCCGUAGCUGGUCUGAGAGGAUGACCAGCCACACUGGCACUGAGACCCGGUCCAGACUCCUACGGGAGGCAGCAGUGGGGAAUAUUGGACAAUGGGCGAAAGCCUGAUCCAGCCAUACCGCGUGGGUGAAGAAGGCCUUCGGGUUGUAAAGCCCUUUUGUUGGGAAAGAAAAGCAGCAGGUUAAUACCCCGCUGUUCUGACGGUACCCAAAGAAUAAGCACCGGCUAACUUCGUG
rnacentral:rRNA from 1 species